CUUCCCGCUUUCCACUCUCUCUCUCCUACUUCGCUCUCCCUCCGACAGCUCGGUCCUCAGAAAGGUCGAUGGGCGAGGGAUCAACCGGAGCCUUAGUUCCGGCGGUGAAGUCGGAGCCAGCUGCAUCGUCAAUUCCCGAUUGCUCACUCGCCGAGGCUCCGACUCAGCUGGAUAAGGACUUCCUCUGCCCGAUUUGCAUUCAGAUCAUUAGCGAUGCGAUCCUCACUGCUUGUGGCCAUAGCUUCUGCUAUAUGUGCAUCAUUUCAUCUCCAUAACAAGAGCGAUUUCCCUUGCUGCUCUCAGCAUCUCACCUCCGACCAGCUGUUUCCUAACUUCUCGCUUGAUAAGUCUUGAGGAAGAAACUAUUCGAAAACUCUGAACAAAGUGUCCUGGCAAGCUACUGAAGAAGACUUCAGCUCAUCAAAUAGCAAAAACUACCACCCCCAUUGAAUUCUUUCGUCGUGCUUUACAAGGGGUUAAUCAUCAAGGGAAUUGCAAGCUAAAAUGUCCUGGGAUUUUUAUAAGGAGGAAUAGGUUCGUACCUUUAGACGCCAUACAAAUGAGAAAAACUUUGUUGGUCUGACAGUAAAUAACCAAUACAUUGCUUGCGGCAGUGAAACAAACGAAGUCUUUGUCUACCACAAGGAAAUCUCCAGACAGCUGACUUCGCAUAAAUUUGGUUCACCUGAUGCAGGUGAUGUGGAGGAUGAUGCGGGAUCUAAUUUCAUCAGUGCUGUUUGCUGGAAGAGUGAUAGUCCUACUAUCCUCAGUGCCAACAGCCAGGGAACAAUUAAGGUUAUACAAGCUUAACUUAUGAAUCGAAUUUCAUUUGUUAUCUCGUGAAAUCAGCAUUGUGGGCUUGGAUAACUACAUGUGAACAUAUUAUCUGAACAACUCGGACUAUUCAAUAACCAUUAUAAGAGCUGUAAAAAUAGCAGAGAAUCAAUGGUGGCGUUCAUCCAAGAUUCACGCACAUUAUGGGCAAAGAGAAGCUCGAUUCGCGACACGUGGCAAGAGGCGAAUGGCGCGUGGUCAACAGACAAAAAAGUUGACGCGUGAGGGAGACAGGAGGACGAAUGAGAGCGUCCACCGAUAGUGAGAGAGUGAGAGAGAGAGUGU